rnacentral:rRNA from 1 species
CGUUAGCGGCGGACGGGUGAGUAACACGUGGAUAACCUACCUAUAAGACUGGGAUAACUUCGGGAAACCGGAGCUAAUACCGGAUAAUAUAUUGAACCGCAUGGUUCAAUAGUGAAAGACGGUUUUGCUGUCACUUAUAGAUGGAUCCGCGCCGCAUUAGCUAGUUGGUAAGGUAACGGCUUACCAAGGCAACGAUGCGUAGCCGACCUGAGAGGGUGAUCGGCCACACUGGAACUGAGACACGGUCCAGACUCCUACGGGAGGCAGCAGUAGGGAAUCUUCCGCAAUGGGCGAAAGCCUGACGGAGCAACGCCGCGUGAGUGAUUAAGGUCUUCGGAUCGUAAAACUCUGUUAUUAGGGAAGAACAAAUGUGUAAGUAACUAUGCACGUCUUGACGGUACCUAAUCAGAAAGCCACGGCUAACUACGUGCCAGCAGCCGCGGUAAUACGUAGGUGGCAAGCGUUAUCCGGAAUUAUUGGGCGUAAAGCGCGCGUAGGCGGUUUUUUAAGUCUGAUGUGAAAGCCCACGGCUCAACCGUGGAGGGUCAUUGGAAACUGGAGAACUUGAGUGCAGAAGAGGAAAGUGGAAUUCCAUGUGUAGCGGUGAAAUGCGCAGAGAUAUGGAGGAACACCAGUGGCGAAGGCGACUUUCUGGUCUGUAACUGACGCUGAUGUGCGAAGGCGUGGGGAUCAAACAGGAUUAGAUACCCUGGUAGUCCACGCCGUAAACGAUGAGUGCUAAGUGUUAGGGGGUUUCCGCCCCUUAGUGCUGCAGCUAACGCAUUAAGCACUCCGCCUGGGGAGUACGACCGCAAGGU